rnacentral:rRNA from 1 species
AGAUUGAACGCUGGCGGAAUGCUUUACACAUGCAAGUCGAACGGCAGCACGGGACUCAGGCAACUGAGCCCUGGUGGCGAGUGGCGAACGGGUGAGUAACAUAUCGGAACGUACCCAGUCGUGGGGGAUAACUCUCCGAAAGGAGAGCUAAUACCGCAUACGUCCUGAGGGAGAAAGCGGGGGACCUAAGGGUAACUGAGGGCCUCGCGCGAUUGGAGCGGCCGAUAUCGGAUUAGCUAGUUGGUGAGGUAAAGGCUCACCAAGGCGACGAUCCGUAGCGGGUCUGAGAGGACGACCCGCCACACUGGAACUGACGACACGGUCCAGACUCCGUACGGGAGCAGCGAGGUGGGUAAUUUUGGACAAGUGGGGGACAACCCGUGACUCCAGCCACUUCCGCGUGAGU